rnacentral:rRNA from 1 species
AUGUGGACCUCUGUUAUGAUGCUUCUGUGUCAUGACAGAACUGCAUAAGCAGGUGAAACUUCUUAGAGGGACUGGCGCUCAAAAAGGCGCACGAGAAAGAGCAAUAACAGGUCUGUGAUGCCCUAAGAUGUCCGGGGCCGCACGCGUGCUACAAUGACGAUGCUAGUGAGCAUGAUUAACUUGCCCGAAAGGGUAGGUAAAACUGUUCAAUCAUCGUCGUGACUGGGAUUGGGGUUUGCAAUUAUCCCCCAUGAACCAGGAAUUCCUAGUAAGCACAAGUCAUAAGCUUGUGCUGAUUACGUCCCUGCCCUUUGUACACACCGCCCGUCGCUACUACCGAUUGAAUGGCUUAGCAAGGUCAUUGGAUUGAGUUCUUGCGGUUCACCCUGCUUGGAUUCGAGAAGAUGCCCGAACUUGGUCAUUUAGAGGAAGUAAAAGUCGUAACAAGGUUUCCGUAGGUGAACCUGCGGAAGGAUCAUUAUCAAAUUCCUAAACCAAAGCCGCUAGUCUCUAGUGGUCGCGCUUUAUGCAGUUUGCUCUGCUCGGCGCAUUGUGAUACAGAAGUGGUUGGAGCGGGCUAGGCGGUAAUUAUGUAUCGCUUAGUUUGGCUCCUUCUCACCCCCGACCCCUCAGUCCGGUGGCUUGUUGGCAUGUACAGUUGUGGUAGCGUUGUGCAUGUUGGCUUGUCGCUAUCUUUCAUUUUUUGGACUGGGCCUGGUCGGCGUUGCCACGUUCUCUCCUUCGGGAGUUCCUGUCAAAAGUACUCAUUGAUACCAACGUUUGUUCGUCUGGCUGCUAUGCCGUAUGCUGCACGUUGUGGUUCCUCUUUCAUCGGCUUGACAGUCUGUAGCUCCGGCGGCGGAUAGUCGCUGAUGGGUGCGGGGCCAUGGUGUGUGGUGUGCGUGUGUAUGUGGUGCGUGCGGGCAUUCGUAGGCAUUGGUCCUCGUGAUCUUGCC